GAUGAACGCUAGCGGCAGGCUUAAUACAUGCAAGUCGAACGGUAACAGUCCUGGCAACGGGAGCUGACGAGUGGCGCACGGGUGCGUAACACGUAUGCAACCUACCCUGUACUGGCGGAUAACCCUGAGAAAUCGGGGCUAAUACGCCAUAGUAUUGUUAUUUGGCAUCAAAUAGCCAUUAAAGAUUUAUUGGUACGGGAUGGGCAUGCGCCCCAUUAGUUAGUUGGUAGGGUAAGGGCCUACCAAGGCGAUGAUGGGUAGGGGCUCUGAGAGGAUUAUCCCCCACACUGGUACUGAGACACGGACCAGACUCCUACGGGAGGCAGCAGUAAGGAAUAUUGGGCAAUGGAGGCAACUCUGACCCAGCCAUGCCGCGUGCAGGAAGACAGCCCUAUGGGUUUUAAACUGCUUCUCUAUUGGAUUAAAGAUAUCUACGUGUAGAUAUUUGCAAGUACUGUAGGAAUAAGCAUCGGCUAACUCCGUGCCAGCAGCCGCGGUAAUACGGAGGAUGCGAGCGUUAUCCGGACUUAUUGGGUUUAAAGGGUGCGUAGGCUGACAAGUAAGUCAGUGGUGAAAUGUCACGGCUCAACCGUGGACUUGCCAUUGAUACUGUUUGUCUGGAGUAUAAUGGGAGCCAGCGGAACGAGGGGUGUAGCGGUGAAAUGCAUAGAUAUUCCUCAGAACGCCGAUAGCGAAGGCAGCUGGCUACGCUAUAACUGACGCUGAGGCACGAAAGCGUGGGGAUCAAACAGGAUUAGAUACCCUGGUAGUCCACGCUGUAAACGAUGAUCACUAGCUGUUGGCGAUAGACUUUCAGCGGCUAAGCGAAAGCGAUAAGUGAUCCACCUGGGGAGUACGUCGGCAACGAUGAAACUCAAAGGAAUUGACGGGGGCCCGCACAAGCGGAGGAGCAUGUGGUUUAAUUCGAUGAUACGCGAGGAACCUUACCUGGGCUUGAACGUAUGGUGCAUUGUGGUGAAAGCCACAUUUCUAGCAAUAGACUUCAUACGAGGUGCUGCAUGGCUGUCGUCAGCUCGUGCCGUGAGGUGUUAGGUUAAGUCCUGCAACGAGCGCAACCCCUAUUUCUAGUUGCCAGCACAUAAUGGUGGGGACUCUAGAGAGACUGCCUGCGCAAGCAGAGAGGAAGGUGGGGAUGACGUCAAGUCAGCACGGCCCUUACGUCCAGGGCUACACACGUGCUACAAUGGACGGUACAGAAGGCAGCGCUAUGGUAACAUACAGCUAAUCCUUAAAGCCGUUCUCAGUUCGGAUCGGAGUCUGCAACCCGACUUCGUGAAGCUGGAUUCGCUAGUAAUCGUAUAUCAGCCAUGAUACGGUGAAUACGUUCCCGGGCCUUGUACACACCGCCCGUCAAGCCAUGGGAGUUAGGGGUACCUGAAGUCGAUGCUCUCACCUUGGUGAGAAGUCGCCUAGGGUAAACCUGAUGACUGGGGC
rnacentral:rRNA from 1 species